rnacentral:misc_RNA from 1 species
AAAACAACCAAUGAAAUAAUUAUAGAACCCCGUCAUUAUACAACCCCAAGUAAUUGUGCAGCUCAGUGCUCUCUCACUGUGUAACGUAACACAGGCAAAUGAUUCUCUUGCUGCAAGCUUUUUGUUGACAUGCUAUCCCGUUAAUAAGAGAACUCAUGCCCUCGAAGUGAAAUGUACUUCUUGACCCAGAUGGCAAUGUCCUCAGCACAAGCCUGAGCCUGUGGGGUCUUCAGAAGCAUGUCAAGAGUUGC